AAAUUUUCUCCCUUUAGAUAUGCAAAAAUUGAUGUGGUCGACACCGAUUAUCGAAACUACGCUAUCCUCUACUCGUGCAAUGCAGUCAAUGAAUCAAUGGUGUCUGAAACGGCCAUGGUUCUUUCGCGCAACCCCUUGGUCACCAAUCGGUAGCAGAAGCAAUCAACAAAUACAUCAGCAGAUAUUUCACCCAUCCGGAGCACAAGUGGCGAGUCACCGAACAAUCUAGCGCUUUCUGCAAACCUACCUUGAUGAUGCAAUCUAAGGCUGUUCCCGUAUUUGAAUCUGGACUGUUCUGUUUUACAUUAUCGUAGGUGUAAUUUGCACCAAAGAUGUUCUCCUAAUGGGCAUCAGUUCGUACUUAAGAAUUGUAAAUUUA